GAGAGAGAGGAACCUCCUUCUUUCUCUCUCUUUCGGUUUCAUGCCGCCGCGGCUGCAUACGGCCGGAUCUGGGCUGUCCACUGCUCUGCACGAUCGGAUCUAGUUUGAAGAUUGUCUUAGUAUAGAGCGCCAUUAUCUGUAAUUAGGCCAUUUUUUUUAUCUGUAAUAGUAAUUAGUUCAUUUUUUUUAUCCGUAAUAGUAAGCUAGUUACCCCUAAUCCCCCUUAUUUUUCAACGGUAAUGUUUUGAUAUUUUUAUAUCUGUAAUAUAGUAAUUAGGCCAUUUAUCUGUAAUAGUAAGUAGCUGGUUACCCCCUUAA